rnacentral:lncRNA from 1 species
CCCCUCCCCACUCACUAGAUUCUAACUAAUGCACAUGUUCUCAACUGCCAAACUCUUCUGGAAUCCCCCCCUCAGGACAAAUUUGGUACUUUAGAAAAGGUUCAUUUUGAAGACCUACGUAAGAUGCUUCCAAUUUGGGAAGCCCAGUCCUUGGACCAAGAUUAGUUCAGCUAUGUAAGAUGCCCCACUUUACCCAAACCAUUAGAAGUGAUUAUAGUUGAUGGAGGGAGAGCUGAAAGAUUCAGACAUCCAUCAUCCUCAAAAACAUGAACUAAGGCAGAGGACCCUGCAAGACCACUAGAAGCCUCCUCCAGAUGAAUAGCUCUCUGAUAUAACAUCUGCAAGUUCUUUCUGCUCCCUAGGAUUUAAUUGGGGCCUUGAGAUGUG